rnacentral:rRNA from 1 species
CUCCUUCGGGAGGGGAUUAGUGGCGAACGGGUGAGUAACACGUGGGCAAUCUGCCCUGCACUCUGGGACAAGCCCUGGAAACGGGGUCUAAUACCGGAUACUGAUCAUCUUGGGCAUCCUGGAUGAUCGAAAGCUCCGGCGGUGCAGGAUGAGCCCGCGGCCUAUCAGCUUGUUGGUGAGGUAACGGCUCACCAAGGCGACGACGGGUAGCCGGCCUGAGAGGGCGACCGGCCACACUGGGACUGAGACACGGCCCAGACUCCUACGGGAGGCAGCAGUGGGGAAUAUUGCACAAUGGGCGCAAGCCUGAUGCAGCGACGCCGCGUGAGGGAUGACGGCCUUCGGGUUGUAAACCUCUUUCAGCAGGGAAGAAGCGCAAGUGACGGUACCUGCAGAAGAAGCGCCGGCUAACUACGUGCCAGCAGCCGCGGUAAUACGUAGGGCGCGAGCGUUGUCCGGAAUUAUUGGGCGUAAAGAGCUCGUAGGCGGCUUGUCGCGUCGGUUGUGAAAGCCCGGGGCUUAACCCCGGGUCUGCAGUCGAUACGGGCAGGCUAGAGUUCGGUAGGGGAGAUCGGAAUUCCUGGUGUAGCGGUGAAAUGCGCAGAUAUCAGGAGGAACACCGGUGGCGAAGGCGGAUCUCUGGGCCGAUACUGACGCUGAGGAGCGAAAGCGUGGGGAGCGAACAGGAUUAGAUACCCUGGUAGUCCACGCCGU